CGGCUUCACUACGGGCGCGGAUUUGAUUUAGAUGUCAUUUAUCCAACUCUCUAUUCGUUUGAGAGAGAUAUCUGAUUCUGAUGAGAUGAAGCUGAGAUUGCACCGUAAUACUCGAUCAAGUUAAUGCUUGCGUGGGAAAGUGUCUGCCGCUUCAA
rnacentral:ncRNA from 2 species